rnacentral:tRNA from 1 species
GUUUCGAUAGCUCAGUUGGUAGAGCGAAUGGCUGUUAACCAUUAAGUCGUAGGUUCAAUCCCUACUCGGAGCG